CUGGCUCAGGAUGAACGCUGGCGGCGUGCUUAACACAUGCAAGUCGAACGGGCCUUAUAUGAAAGAAGCUCCGGCAGAUGGAGAUAUAAGGUAGUGGCGGACGGGUGAGUAACGCGUGGAGAACCUGCCCUGUACAGGGGGAUAACACCAGGAAACUGAUGCUAAAACCGCAUAAGCGCACGGUACCGCAUGGUACAGUGUGAAAAACCGAGGUGGUACAGGAUGGCUCCGCGUUGGAUUAGCCAGUUGGCGGGGUAACGGCCCACCAAAGCGACGAUCCAUAGCCGGCCUGAGAGGGUGGACGGCCACAUUGGGACUGAGACACGGCCCAGACUCCUACGGGAGGCAGCAGUGGGGAAUAUUGCACAAUGGGGGGAACCCUGAUGCAGCGACGCCGCGUGAAGGAAGAAGUAUUUCGGUAUGUAAACUUCUAUCGGUAGGGAAGAAGGAAGACGGUACCUGCAGAAGAAGCCCCGGCUAACUACGUGCCAGCCGCUGC
rnacentral:rRNA from 1 species